GAUGAAGAACGUAGCGAAAUGCGAUAAGUAAUGUGAAUUGCAGAGUUUUGUGAAUCAUCGAAUCUUUGAACGCACAUUGCGCCACUCGGUAUUCCGACGGGCAUGCCUGUCCGAGCGUCGUUUGCAACCCAUCGAGUAACACUUCUCGGUCUUGGGCGCCGUCCGCCCCCUCGGGGGAUCGGACGGGCCCCAAAGCCCUCGGCGGCCCCGCGUGCCCCGCCGGAGCGUCUUCGAAAGCAAUCGCUCCGGCGCGUCGCGCCCCGGGACCAAGCCGGCACCGCGGCCCCCCCAAAGGGGUCGCACCCCCAACACCAAACGUCUGACCUCGGAUCAGGUAGGGCUACCCGCUGAACUUAAGCAUAUCAAUAAGCGGAGGA
rnacentral:misc_RNA from 1 species